rnacentral:rRNA from 1 species
AAACCGUUGAGAGGGAAGCGAAUGGAGUUAGCAAUUCGCUUGCCAGAUUCAGUUUCCAGCUUGCCGCGACGUUCGCGUUCUCGAUCUUCGUAGACGAGUCGCGAGCGCGCACGGCACGCCGGGGACGCACUUCUGGCGGGCGAUCGUCACCGUCGGUUUCGGACGAACUAGGGGAUUGCAAGGAAGGUAAAUCGGUCGUUGGCCGUUUGUUAAGCCUUGCGAACGUCCUGCCCGUCGGAGACCGGGGAAAGCGGCGCGCGCCUAUAAAUACGGGCUGGUGUCCCGUCUUGCUGUUCGGUUGUCGACUGUGGCGGACGGCGCGCCUGUGCGCUCGAACCGCAGCCGGACAUCAUUUCGGUGAUCAAACAUUCCGCGCCUACGACGUUGACGAUCAUACGGCUCUAUCCGACCCGUCUUGAAACACGGACCAAGGAGUCUGACAUGUACGCAAGUCUCUGGGUGAUCGAAACCCGUGGGCGAAAUGAAAGUGAAGGCAGUCUCGGCUGUCGAGGUGAGAAGCGCUCUCUUUGCGAGCGCCGCAUCAUCGACCGAYCUAUUCUACUCUUAGGAAGGUUUGAGUAAGAGCGUAGCUGUUGGGACCCGAAAGAUGGUGAACUAUGCCUGAAUAGGGUGAAGCCAGCGGAAACACUGGUGGAAGCUCGUAGCGAUUCUGACGUGCAAAUCGAUCGUCGAAUUUGGGUAUAGCGGCGAAAGACUAAUCGAACCAUCUAGUAGCUGGUUCCCUCCGAAGUUUCUCUCAGGAUAGCUGGAGCUCGGUCGCAGUUU